rnacentral:rRNA from 1 species
GAUGAACGCUGGCGGCGUGCCUAAUACAUGCAAGUCGAGCGAACAGAUAAGGAGCUUGCUCCCUUGACGUUAGCGGCGGACGGGUGAGUAACACGUGGGUAACCUACCUAUAAGACUGGAAUAACUCCGGGAAACCGGGGCUAAUGCCGGAUAACAUUUAGAACCGCAUGGUUCUAAAGUGAAAGAUGGUUUUGCUAUCACUUAUAGAUGGACCCGCGCCGUAUUAGCUAGUUGGUAAGGUAACGGCUUACCAAGGCAACGAUACGUAGCCGACCUGAGAGGGUGAUCGGCCACACUGGAACUGAGACACGGUCCAGACUCCUACGGGAGGCAGCAGUAGGGAAUCUUCCGCAAUGGGCGAAAGCCUGACGGAGCAACGCCGCGUGAGUGAUGAAGGUCUUCGGAUCGUAAAACUCUGUUAUUAGGGAAGAACAAAUGUGUAAGUAACUGUGUACGUCUUGACGGUACCUAAUCAGAAAGCCACGGCUAACUACGUG